GCCUCGGUAGCUCAGUCGGCAGAGCGCGUGCCUUUUAAGCCCGUGGCCGCGGAUCCGAGCCCGCCCGAGGUG
rnacentral:tRNA from 1 species